UGUGGCUGUGCAAGCUUGAAUGGUUCUCUGUGUCCUGCUCUGAGCUCAGCUUUUUGGUGCUGUGAGAGGACCUCAGGGAAGCUCUGAAAUCAAGAUAUGGAUGCAGUGACUUUUGAUGAUGUGCAUGUGAACUUCACUAAAGAAGAGUGGAAUUUGCUGGAUUCUUCCCAGAUGAAUCUCUACAACAAUGUGAUGUUGGAGACCUACUGGAACCUUACUGUUAUAGGCUACAAUUGGGAAGACCAUCAUAUUGAAGAACCAUGUCAAAGUUCUCGAAGACAUAUAAGGCAUGUAAGAAGUCAUAGUUGGAAGAAACUCUAUGAAUGUAAUCAAUGUGGUAAAGCCUUUGCAAGACCUGCUCAUUUCCAUUAUCAUAAAAAAACCCAUACUGGAGAGAAACCUUAUGAAUAUAAUCAAUGUGGUAAAGCCUUUUCCUAUUACAGUAGUCUCAGAUACCAUAAAAGAACCCAUACUGGAGAAAAACUUUAUAAAUAUAAUCAAUGUGGUAAAGCUUUUACAAGACCCUCUCAUCUCCAAUGUCAUAAAAGAACACAUACUGGAGAGAAACCUUGUAAAUGUAAUCAAUGUGGUAAAUCUUUUGUAACACCCAGUCAUCUCCAACAUCAUAAAAGAACACAUAUUGGAGAGAAACCUUAUGAAUGUAAUCAAUGUGGUAAAGCCUUUUCCUGUCACAGUAGUCUCAGAUAUAAAAGAUCACAUACUGGAGAGAAACCUUAUGAAUGUAGUCAAUGUGGUAAAGCCUUUGCAACACUCAGUCAUCUCUAAUGUCAUAAAAGAACACAUACUGGAGAACAUAAAAAAAAAAAACCACAUAGUGGAGAGAAAUCUUAAUGUAAUCAAUGUGGUAAAAGCCUUUUCACAAAGUAAUUAUCUCCAAAAAUAUAAAAGAACCCAUUUUGGAGAGAAACCUUAUGAAUGUAACCAAUGUGGUAAUGAAGUCUUUGCAUGUUCCACUCGUCUCUAAAACAUAAAAGAUCCCAUACUGGAAAGAAACCUCAUGAAUAUAAUCAAUGUGAUAAAGACUUCACAACUUUGUAAUCUCUAUUAUAUUUAAAAGUAAUGGUGGUCUUUGGAGCUUUGACACAUACAGGAGAGAAACCUUAUGAAUGUAAUCAGUGUUAUAAAGCAUUUCAAGUCACAGUCAUCUGCAAUGACAUGAAAGAUCACAUACAAGAGAGAAACCUCAUGAAUGUUAUCAAUGCAGAAAAGCCUUUGCAUGUCAUAAUUCUUCACAUGUACACAAAAUAAAGCAUACCAGGGAGAACCCUCAUUAUUGUAAACACUGUGGCAAAACCCUUGUGUGUCACAGUCAUCACCCAAUACAUAAAAGAACACAUACGGUAGAAAAACUGCAUGAAUAUAAUGAAUAAGGUAAACCCUUUCGAGGACACAGUCAUCUCCAAAUACACAAAAGAAAAUGUGCAAGAGAGAAACCUUAUGAAUGUAAUUGAUGUGAUAAAAACUUUGAAUAUCACAGUCAUCUCCAAGUCCAUUAAUGAACACAUAGUUGAGAGAAGCCCUGUGAUUGUAAUGAAUGUGUUAAAGCCUUUGCAUGUCACUGUACUCUCCAAAUACUUAAAGGAACACAUGUUUUAGAGAAACCUUAUACAUGCAAUGAAUGUGGAAAAGACUGCAUAUCACUAUAGUCUCCAAAGACAUAAAAGAACACAAUGGACAGAAAUCUUGUGAAUGUAGUCAAGUUGGAAAAUCCUUUACAUGCCACAGUAGUCUCUGAAUACAUAAAAGAACACAUACUAGAGAGAAACCUUAUCAAUAUAACCAAUGUGGUAAAGACUUUGCAUGUCCUAAUCAUAUUUAAAUGUAUGAAAGAACAAAUACAUAUGGAGAAAAAUCUUACAAAUGUAAUCAAUGUGAUUAA